GGUCCACCCGUUCCCAUCCCGAACACGGAAGUUAAGCUCAUCUGCGCCGAAGAUACUUACCUGGCAACGGGUUGGUAAAAUAGGUGAUGCCAACA
rnacentral:rRNA from 1 species